AAAACAUCGCCUCUUGCAAAGUAAUGAAUAAGAGGUCCCGCCUGCCCUGUGACUCUAAGUUUAACGGCCGCGGUAUUUUGACCGUGCGAAGGUAGCGCAAUCACUUGUCUUUUAAAUGGAGACCUGUAUGAAUGGCAUAACGAGGGCUUAGCUGUCUCCUUUCUCUAGUCAAUGAAAUUGAUCUCCCCGUGCAGAAGCGGGGAUAGAACCAUAAGACGAGAAGACCCUAUGGAGCUUUAGACGCCAGGACAGACCAUGUUAAACACCUCCCCAUAAGGAGCCCAAACCAAAUGGUCCCUGCCCUAGUGUCUUUGGUUGGGGCGACCGCGGGGAAACAUAAAACCCCCAUGUGGAAUGGGAGCACCCUCUCCUACAACUAAGAGCUACGGCUCUAAUGAACAGAAUUUCUGACCAACAAGAUCCGGCAAUGCCGAUCAACGGACCGAGUUACCCUAGGGAUAACAGCGCAAUCCCCUUUUAGAGCCCAUAUCGACAAGGGGGUUUACGACCUCGAUGUUGGAUCAGGACAUCCUAAUGGUGCAGCCGCUAUUAAGGGUUCGUUUGUUCAACGAUUAAAGUCCUACGUG
rnacentral:rRNA from 1 species